AUUGAACGCUGGCGGCAUGCCUUACACAUGCAAGUCGAACGGUAACAGGUCUUCGGAUGCUGACGAGUGGCGAACGGGUGAGUAUACAUCGGAACGUGCCCAGACGUGGGGGAUAACGAGGCGAAAGCUUUGCUAAUACCGCAUACGAACUAAGGAUGAAAGCAGGGGACCGCAAGGCCUUGUGCGUUUGGAGCGGCCGAUGGCAGAUCAGGUAGUUGGUGGGAUAAAAGCUUACCAAGCCGACGAUCUGUAGCUGGUCUGAGAGGACGACCAGCCACACUGGGACUGAGACACGGCCCAGACUCCUACGGGAGGCAGCAGUGGGGAAUUUUGGACAAUGGGCGAAAGCCUGAUCCAGCAAUGCCGCGUGCAGGAUGAAGGCCUUCGGGUUGUAAACUGCUUUUGUACGGAACGAAAAGGCUCUGGCUAAUACCUGGGGCGCAUGACGGUACCGUAAGAAUAAGCACCGGCUAACUACGUG
rnacentral:rRNA from 1 species